rnacentral:rRNA from 1 species
GACGAACGCUGGCGGCGUGCUUAACACAUGCAAGUCGAACGGAAAGGCCCUGCUUUUGUGGGGUGCUCGAGUGGCGAACGGGUGAGUAACACGUGAGUAACCUGCCCUUGACUUUGGGAUAACUUCAGGAAACUGGGGCUAAUACCGGAUAGGAGCUCCUGCUGCAUGAUGGGGGUUGGAAAGUUUCGGCGGUUGGGGAUGGACUCGCGGCUUAUCAGCUUGUUGGUGGGGUAGUGGCUUACCAAGGCUUUGACGGGUAGCCGGCCUGAGAGGGUGACCGGCCACAUUGGGACUGAGAUACGGCCCAGACUCCUACGGGAGGCAGCAGUGGGGAAUAUUGCACAAUGGGCGGAAGCCUGAUGCAGCAACGCCGCGUGUGGGAUGACGGCCUUCGGGUUGUAAACCGCUUUCGCCUGUGACGAAGCGUGAGUGACGGUAAUGGGUAAAGAAGCACCGGCUAACUACGUG